UUACCAGCGAGUGGCGGACGGGUGAGUAACACGUAGGUAACCUGCCCCAAAGCGGGGGAUAACAUUUGGAAACAGAUGCUAAUACCGCAUAACAAUUUGAAUCGCAUGAUUCAAAUUUAAAAGAUGGUUUCGGCUAUCACUUUGGGAUGGACCUGCGGCGCAUUAGCUUGUUGGUAGGGUAACGGCCUACCAAGGCUGUGAUGCGUAGCCGAGUUGAGAGACUGAUCGGCCACAAUGGAACUGAGACACGGUCCA
rnacentral:rRNA from 1 species